rnacentral:rRNA from 1 species
GACGAACGCUGGCGGCGUGCUUAACACAUGCAAGUCGAACGGAAAGGCCCUGCUUUUGUGGGGUGCUCGAUUGGCGAACGGGUGAGUAACACGUGAGUAACCUGCCCCUGUCUUUGGGAUAACUUCAGGAAACUGGGGCUAAUAUCGGAUAGGAGCUCCUGCUGCAUGGUGGUGGUUGGAAAGUUUCGGCGGUUGGGGAUGGACUGGCGGCUUACGAGCUUGUUAGGGGGGUAGUCGCUUACCAAGGCUUCGACGGGUAGCCGGCAUGAGAGGGUUGCCGGGCACAAUAGGCCUAAGGGACGGACCAGAAGGGUACGGGAGGCAGUAGUGGGGAAUAUGACACAGUGGGGGGACGCCUGAGACGGCGGCGCCGCGUGCGGGAUGACGUCUUUCGGGUUGUAAACAGCUUUGGCAUGAACCGAGGCGGGAGUGACGGUAAUGGAUAAGAAAGCACCGGCUAACUACGUG